rnacentral:rRNA from 1 species
UGGGGAAUAUUGGACAAUGGGCGCAAGCCUGAUCCAGCAAUGCCGCGUGUGUGAAGAAGGCCUUCGGGUUGUAAAGCACUUUUAUCAGGAGCGAAACGCUGUCGGCUAAUACCCGGCGGAACUGACGGUACCUGAGGAAUAAGCACCGGCUAACUUCGUGCCAGCAGCCGCGGUAAUACGAAGGGUGCAAGCGUUAAUCGGAAUUACUGGGCGUAAAGCGUGCGUAGGCGGUUUCUUAAGUCUGCUGUGAAAUCCCCGGGCUCAACCUGGGAAUGGCAGUGGAUACUGGGAGGCUAGAGUGUGUCAGAGGGUGGUGGAAUUCCCGGUGUAGCGGUGAAAUGCGUAGAGAUCGGGAGGAACAUCAGUGGCGAAGGCGGCCACCUGGGACAACACUGACGCUGAGGCACGAAAGCGUGGGGAGCAAACAGGGUUAGAUACCCUGGUAGUCCACGCCCUAAACGAUGCGAACUGGAUGUUGGUCUCAACUCGGAGAUCAGUGUCGAAGCUAACGCGUUAAGUUCGCCG